GACAGCAUCCUCGAAGACAAAUAAUGAAUUUGGCAAGAUGUCGGAAUAGCUGAGAGCACAGAGGAUCGAGCGAGUCAUCGACCGAGACGAAUUCCAAAGCGGCUAUGCCUCAUCUAGUCAAUUACAUUACUUUGACACUUUCCACGAGGGAU
rnacentral:pre_miRNA from 15 species